ensembl:lncRNA
GUGCUGAUUUGGCCGUACUGUUGAAAUCAAACUUUCAAUGGAAGGUGCACUUGGAAUAGAUGAAAGCAACCCAGGAACGAUUCAAAAUAUCAAAGAGUAAACAUGUCCAGGAGGAAUGCCAGAGAAUUCCUGUGGAUAUGGCUGUCCAAUCUAGUCCAGAUUCCAAGGAAACCAUGUGUUAUCCUCCCUACUCUCCCAGAACAGACCUGAUUCUCCUAAUGUGCACUCUCUGCAAGUCCUGAAGUCCUGCAACCUUGGGCUUCCCCACAUCGCAGUCAUUGCAGCUGAUCACUUGGACUGCUGCAUUAAAAAAUAGACUGGAGCAAGCAAGAAUGAACUGAUAGACUAUUGUAAUUCAUAAAAUGGUGGUAUUAUAUGCUAGGGUGGAGGUAAGUCGAUAGAUUUGGAAUGUAUCAAAAUCUGAAAUUAAAAUUAUCCUGUGGCUUACUUAUCAUAUGAUUUUGGACAAGUUUUUAAAACCUUUCCUACGUUUCUUCUCAUCUGCAGAGUGGAGAUUAUGGGAAUAUUAAAGUAACACAUAUAAAAUAUAAGCUUUAUGCCAUGAUGUCUGACGCGUAAUAGUCCCUUAAUAAAUAGUGGUUAUCAUUCUUAUGU